AAUUCAAGCAUUACCCCCUCAACUCUCCUUGGCAUUUCAUCGAACACCUCGCAGCUUAAAAUAGGCGAUUUCAGUGAGCAAAAUAACACCCGCCAGUUGGGACGACGACAGAUUUCGAUCGGAAAACUCAUCCACAUCCCCGCAAUUCCUCAUAAUUUCUACCUCCCAACUUCACUCGCCCUACCCUGCCCUGAAACAGAGGAGGUGGAGGAGAGAUCCAACUAACCUUGUUGCGUUGCUGCUGCUUCUUCAAUUGGCCGCGGUGGUGACGAUGGAGAUUAUCGAGGUCUCUGUUGAUCGAUUAAGCUUUUUAGCCAUGGGAUUGGGGGGAUUCAACUCCCUUAAUAAUUCUACGGCUCCCCACUGCCUUCAAUGCUCAGCUUAGGAAGAGGAUGCGUAGCCAACGCCGCCGCCGAUCUUCCCUCAACUUCUCUCCGCUGCGUUUCCACCACUCCUUCUCCUUUUCCUCCCCCACCUGCACCAACUUAGCUUGUUAAUGACUUCCUAAAUUAAUGGUCAAAUAUGGAAUUAAGAACAAAACAUUCAAGGAUGGAAAAAAGAGGAUGAGAUAUCAUGAAAUGACGCAAUUACCCCCUUCUCAUAUGGUCAUCUAACGGAAAUACAGACGGAGGAUCAAAAUUGUCCUCGUCACAAUAAGUGUGUCCAUAAAUUGAUCAAUUUUUUUAUGGAGGACUAAAAUUGUCUUUGCCACCAUAAGUCUAGGACCAAAAAAGGAAUUGACUCUAAAAAGAAAAAAAAAUCGGUGGCAUUAUUGUGAUUUUGUGUAAGUAAGUUUUUUUUUUUUUGCCUUCCAGCGCACAUUGUUGCUUCUUCCAAUGCACAUUGUU